AUACGGAGGGUCCGAGCGUUAUCCGGAUUUAUUGGGUUUAAAGGGUGCGCAGGCGGCCAUUUAAGUCAGCGGUUAAAUCGUGGGGCUCAACCCCAUUCUGCCGUUGAUACUGGGUGGCUUGAUUGCGGUCGAGGUUGGCGGAAUUCGUUGUGUAGCGGUGAAAUGCAUAGAUAUGACGAAGAACACCGAUUGCGUAGGCAGCUGACCAGACCGCAAAUGACGCUCAUGCACGAAAGUGCGGGGAUCGAACAGGAUUAGAUACCCUGGUAGUCCGCACAGUAAACGAUGAAUACUUGUUUUCGGCGAUAUAAUGUCGGAGGCAAAGCGAAAGCGAUAAGUAUUCCACCUGGGGAGUACGCCGGCAACGGUGAAACUUAAAGGAAUUGACGGGG
rnacentral:rRNA from 1 species